UGAAGGGUUUAACCAAGAGCAGCACAUUAGCAGCUCCAGAGGGAGAGGUGAAACUCUGUAGAGCAGCUAAAAUUACAAGACGGAAAGAGAGAUCGAAGACAGCGCCGGAGGCAGACCACUUGCAGAGAGGUUCCCGAGUGCCAGAGAGGUGUCGCCAUCAUGGAGGUUUCUGGAUUCGAGACAGGAGCCGCGCCGAGCCAGGCGGAUGACUACAAGAUCCUUCGUCCAAGGUUGGUCCGGAGAGGGAAGCUGCAGGUUGGUGAGGGACCCCAGCUGUCUGCAAGUUGUUCUCAAGGCAGAUUAUAUGAUCCUCCAUCCUGCACAGUCUGAGAAAAUAUGGACACAUCCAAGAUCAUUUAGGGAGCGUCACAGCGGAGUGUGAACUUGAAAUACAAUCUGCCCGAAUCUAGUCCAACCCUCUCACCGCUAUACUUUCACCAGCUACUUCCUUGCAAACUAUAAAGUAUCGACAACCAUGAAAUGUGUUUAAGUCUUGUGAUGUAAAGUCACUCUGGAUGCUGCUCAGAGAGAUUUGAA